rnacentral:rRNA from 1 species
GAACACUUACAGAUCCCACUUUGGGCAUAUGAUCCAGCUUCAUCACGCGUGCGCUAGCGGUCGUUAAUCAUCAAGUCGAGCGCCCCCACUUGUUUUGAAAAACGAAGAUAGAGUGGGGGAGCGGCAGACGGCUGAGUAACACGUGGUACCUGCCCGAUACUCGAGGAUAGCUCGGAGAAAUCCGGAUUAAUACUCGAUAGUCCCUACGGGGUAAAGAUUUAUCGGUAUCGGAGGGGCCUGCGGCCUAUCAGUUUGUUGGUGAGGUAAUGGCUUACCAAGACAAUGACGGGUAGCUGGA